rnacentral:rRNA from 1 species
AUGGCGAGGCACUCCGACGACGAGGCUCGCGCUAGGGAAGAAGCCAAAGGUCCCGGUGGUGGAGGUCGGCUCCGAGGCGGGUGCGGGGGAAGGCAGCGAUGCAGGCGAGGAGGAGUCCUAGCGGCGGAGCUCCAUGGGAAGCGCAGCUAUGCACAACGGACGACCAGGAGGCUCACGGGGCCUCGGGUGCGGCAUGCAGAGGAGGCAGCGGCGCGACUCUGGAGCAUGGCAGGAGGAGGCGACGAGGAUCCGGGCAAGGACAUUGACAUCAGAGGCAUGGUGCUGGUCGCAGGGGAAGGAGGGGCCGACGCGGGGUCUCCUGCGUGUGGGGUGGCGCGAGAGGAGGAAGGAGAUCUGGAAGAGAAGGUUGGUGCCGCUGGGAGAUCGAAGAAAGAGGAGGGGGGAUCGAGCAAGUCCUCCUGGCUCGAUGCGUGCGUUGAGUGUGGCGGCGCGCAGGGAACCGAGGGAGAGGGGGUCGAGCGAGGCUAG